rnacentral:rRNA from 1 species
AACGAACGCUGGCGGCAUGCCUAACACGUGCAAGUCGAACGAGAUCUUCGGGUCUAGUGGCGCACGGGUGCGUAACGCGUGGGAAUCUGCCCUUUGGUUCGGAAUAACAGUUGGAAACGACUGCUAAUACCGGAUGAUGACGAAAGUCCAAAGAUUUAUCGCCAGAGGAUGAGCCCGCGUAGGAUUAGCUAGUUGGUGUGGUAAAGGCGCACCAAGACGACGAUCCUUAGCUGGUCUGAGAGGAUGAUCAGCCACACUGGGACUGAGACACGGCCUAGACUCCUACGGGAGGCAGCAGUGGGGAAUAUUGGACAAUGGGCGAAAGCCUGAUCCAGCAAUGCCGCGUGAGUGAUGAAGGCCUUAGGGUUGUAAAGCUCUUUUACCCGGGAUGAUAAUGACAGUACCGGGAGAAUAAGCUCCGGCUAACUCCGUGCCAGCAGCCGCCGUAA